UCUGAAGCCGCUGUUGUAUCGGUGAGUUGCGGCAGCAGUACUCACUGCAGUCCUCGAGUGUGACACACACACAUCAUGUUUUAAUGCGCGGUACUUUCAGCUCGCUUUAAAACAUCGCGGUGCUUAUGGGAUAAAACAAGUGGAUUUCGCGUGGAUUUCUUGGAAGUGGUGUAUCCAUGAUUUUGAAAGCUUCCUGGUUCUGGUAGCGACACACACACACACACACACACACCGCUGGUUCACACCAUCUGCGAAAGUCGAGGGGUUUUAUUUCGCCAACAGCUCCUUGUUUGGACGCGCGCUGAACGCGAAGGUCUUCCGUCUUUUUGACCGAUGCGUUUCCACGGGUGACCGUUACAUUACCGUGCGGAUACAUCGUCAUCAUGUGGACGACUAGGGCGCGUUGCCAGGACAGCGGGACCGAUCCCGAGCGCGAGCGCCUCUGGGCCGAGCUAUUCGAGCAACUGGACCUGAACAAGGACGGCCGGAUCGAUGUGAACGAGCUGCGGAUCGGGCUCGCCGCCCGCGGGGUAUCGUCGAGCUCCGUGGAGGAGCAGGUUGUUCGAGCCGGAGACAUCAAUGAUGACGGUCAGCUGGAUUUCGAAGAGUUCACGGAGUAUCUGCGUUCACAUGAGAAGCGCCUCAAGCUCAUGUUUCGCAGCUUGGACCGCAACAAUGACGGUCAAGUUGAUGCUGAGGAGAUCCAGCAGUCGCUACAGAGUCUCGGCGUGGACGUCUCGUUGGAACUGGCUGCCAAAAUACUGCAAAGCAUGGACAAAGACCGUUCCAUGACCAUCGACUGGAUGGAGUGGCGAGAUCACUUCCUGUUUAACCCUUUGCACAACAUGGAGGAAAUCGCUCAGUUUUGGAAACACUCUGUGAUGUUGGAUAUCGGAGAGCAUUUGACGGUCCCGGAUGAGUUCUCGGAGAAGGAGAAGCAGUCAGGGUUCGUGUGGCGGCAGCUGAUGGCCGGCGCUGUGGCGGGAUCAGUGUCCAGGACAGGAACGGCGCCGCUCGACAGACUCAAGGUCUUUAUGCAGGUGCACGGGCAGAGCUCGGAGAAGGGGAACGUGUGGCGCGGGCUGCGGGCGAUGGUGAAGGAAGGAGGACUCGCUGCGCUGUGGAGGGGGAACGGCAUCAACGUGCUGAAGAUCGCACCCGAGACGGCCAUCAAGUUCCUGGCCUACGAACAGAUUAAGUGCUUGAUGAGAGGCGGUAAAGAAGUAGGAACUCUGAAAGUUCAGGAGAGAUUCGUCGCUGGAUCACUGGCUGGAGCUACAGCUCAAACUAUCAUAUACCCGAUGGAGGUGCUGAAGACUCGUCUCACUCUCCGUAAAACAGGCCAGUACUCCAGCGCGGCGGACUGUGCCAAGCAGAUCCUGCUGAAGGAGGGCCUUCUGGCCUUUUAUAAAGGAUACCUGCCCAAUAUACUGGGCAUCAUCCCGUACGCGGGCAUAGACCUCGCUGUCUACGAGACGCUGAAGAACGCUUGGCUACAGCGUCACACCGAGGGCUCGCCUGACCCGGGGGUCCUGGUGCUGGUGGGCUGUGGGACGGUGUCCAGCACCUGUGGACAGCUGGCGUCCUACCCGCUCGCCCUCGUCCGAACACGCAUGCAGGCCCAGGCGUCAGUGAAAGGCGCUCCGCAGAUGUCCAUGCUGACCCUGUUCAGAAAUAUCGUGGCCCAGGACGGCGUGGUGGGACUCUACCGAGGCAUCGCUCCAAACUUCCUCAAGGUCAUCCCGGCCGUCAGCAUCUCCUACGUCGUCUACGAGCACAUGAGGAAAGUACUGGGAGUGGGAACCUGAGAGAGAGAGAGUCAAAUGAAUCCUUUUUUUGUUGAACGAUGGACAAGAAAGGUCAGAGACGGAGUUUAUUUAUGCCUACUACAGUAUAUGGGACCACCGGAGUGAUGUUCUCAAAAAAUAAAACAGAGGAUGUGAGGAAGAACGAUGAACUGAUUUUAAAACGCUGAAAUAUGCAGAAUCCAAGAGUCCUGAAUUCCUGAGGUUUAUGAUGUAUUUUGUUGCUCAACAGGAGCCUGAUAUUCAGGUUUACAGGAUGAAGAAAAGUGUCAAGGAAUGCAAGGCCAACAGUUUUUGAAUAUUUUAGAUUUUAACGAAAGUAAUUUUAAGGUAAUAAAUUUGGCUAGAUGUUAAUGCUCACAAAAUUCUGUCUUACUACAGAAGUACAUACUUUUCCAUCACCAGCUUAGUACAUACUUGACAUGAACUGGAGAUCUUUUUAAAUAGCUGUUACUCCCAAUGGAUAACGCACUGUGGCCUACAAUUUGGAGCAGAAAGCCUUAUGGACUCACGGAUGGGAGAGCAUGUGUGUUCAUUUUUGUGAUUUUUGAGUCUUCAAGAAAUCGAACAGAGCAAAAGACUGUCUUCUAGGGUCACUUCUUGGUCAAUGUGCUCUGUACUUUAUCACCACUUUCAGAAGAUGUAUAUCAGUCCGAGAGACUGUUUGGAUGUGUUACAAUACAAUAAAGAUCCCUGCCUGGAGUCUGCACCCACAGGUUUCCAUCAAACACCUUUCAUUCAAGUCUCAAAUAUGAUUUUUGUUUAUUAUUUUCUUUUAAUCUAUAUGCUACUGUAUUCAAAACUUUCAGCAGUUGUACAUGUCAUGAUGUCUUUCUCCCCUGGGAAAACGGACCAACAUUAUUGAUGACAUCAUCCUGCACUCACAGGUGUAGCCAAUCAAGUUCUCUCUAGAAUGAGAAUGCCCCUCCCCCUAAUUCAGCAGCGAGUAAACUGGAGGCAACUGGCUAGUUUAAUAAGCUAAAAUAAUUCCACUUCCAAUAAAAUCUAGUUUUAAUAUUUCCUCAAAAUUUCCCCAAAGUUAGUAUGGAAACAAAAAAAAACCAAAACAUUAGUUUAAGGCCUUCUCAUUUCCAGUGAUUUUGUGUUUUCAGACACGGACUACUGUUUUUAUUUCGAUGUAAACAAAACAAAGAACAUUGUAUGGUGAUUGUUUUGUUUUUUUACUGUCAUGACGUGUAUGUUUUCUUUGAAAGGAAACUGAAUUAUAUCUGAAUGCAUGCAAGAGAAUGUAUGUUAAAUUAAAUUAAACUAAACUAAAUCGUA